UACGAAGGGGGCUAGCGUUGUUCGGAUUUACUGGGCGUAAAGUGCACGUAGGCGGAUAUUUAAGUCAGGGGUGAAAUCCCGGGGCUCAACCCCGGAACUGCCUUUGAUACUGGGUAUCUUUGAGUCCGGAAGAGGUGAGUGGAAUUCCGAGUGUAGAGGUGAAAUUCGUAGAUAUUCGGAGGAACACCAGUGGCGAAGGCGGCGAUCGUGGGAAGAGUACUGACGCUGAGGUGCGAAAGCGUGGGGAGCAACAGG
rnacentral:rRNA from 1 species